AUUUGUUUCCUAAAUUAGUUUCUUGAUACUGAAAUACUGCUGAGCUGAAUUUUUUCUUAUUUUUCAGAAAAAAUUGGUAUAGCCAGACCAAAUGUUUUGUGUUCGCAAGCCUAAUGAUUAGCAAGCCCUAAUACUAACUGCAAUUUAGUUUAGUACUAAAGUUGUAGUCAUCUUACAGAAUUAUUCACUUAGCACCAGAUUUUGUCCAGAUGAAUUCCGACCUCAAUGGCAAUUCUCAAAUUUACUAAAAUCAAAUACGAUCAGAAUUCGAUUGGUGUAAGUGAAUCUGCAGCAAUCGCCCAGAUGUAUUCCAGAUUAAGUCUGCCCAGAUUAAAAUCUGUGCUUUUCACAUAUGAACUGUUUAUAAAGGUAUAGGAUUUGGAAGAUUCACAAAGUACCAAUAAAAGGGACACAAUAGGCACCAAAACAACUUUAGCUUAAUGAAGCAGUUUUGGUGUGGAGAUCAUGCCACUGCAGUCUCAUUGCUUAAUUCUCACUGCUCAAUAAAUCCAGG